AGCGAACGCUGGCGGCAGGCCUAACACAUGCAAGUCGAACGAAGUCUUCGGACUUAGUGGCGGACGGGUGAGUAACACGUGGGAACGUACCUUUUGGUUCGGAACAACUCAGGGAAACUUGAGCUAAUACCGGAUGAGCCCUUAGGGGGAAAGAUUUAUCGCCGAAAGAGCGGCCCGCGUUAGAUUAGCUAGUUGGUGAGGUAAAGGCUCACCAAGGCUACGAUCUAUAGCUGGUCUGAGAGGAUGAUCAGCCACACUGGGACUGAGACACGGCCCAGACUCCUACGGGAGGCAGCAGUGGGGAAUCUUGCGCAAUGGGCGAAAGCCUGACGCAGCCAUGCCGCGUGAAUGAUGAAGGUCUUAGGAUUGUAAAAUUCUUUUACCAGGGACGAUAAUGACGGUACCUGGAGAAAGAGCCCCGGCUAACUUCGUGCCAGCAGCCGCCGUAAGAC
rnacentral:rRNA from 1 species